CACGUAGUCAACCUGCCCUCGGGUCGAGAAUAAUCUCGGGAAACUGAGGCUAAUUCUCGAUAGGUCAAGAUUCCUGGAAUGGGUUUUGGCCCAAACGGUGUGACGGCAUCUCGUCAUCUCCGCCCGAGGAUGGGACUGCGGCCGAUCAGGCUGUUGGUGGGGUAAAGGCCCACCAAACCUGUAACCGGUACGGGCUUUGAGAGAAGGAGCCCGGAGAUGGAGACUGAGGCAAGGCUCCAGGUCCUACGGGGCGCAGCAGGCGCGAAACCUUCGCAAUGUGCGAAAGCACGACGAGGUUAUUCCGAGUGAUCUCCGCUGAGGAGAUCUUUUCUCAGAUCUAAAAAGUCUGGGGAAUAAGGGGAGGGCAAGUCUGGUGCCAGCAGCCGCGGUAAU
rnacentral:rRNA from 1 species